rnacentral:antisense_RNA from 1 species
CUUGACCGAGCCGAGCCACAGCGGCCGCUCCCGGUCCUGCCCGUACGACGCCAGCAGCGCCUGCGCCUC